GUGCUCGCUUCGGCAGCACAUAUACUAAAAUUGGAAAGAUACCGAGAAGAUUAGCAUGGCCUCUGCGCAAGAAUGUGAAUAUAAAUUUCUUAAUACAUUUUG